GCAAUUCUUACAGACUUUGCACCCAAACACCUAAAGAACACCUAAAUUAAGCCUUGGCAAAGCUUAAAGUUUUGUAAGUCACUAGUUAAAUGGAAGGAUUUCAUCACAGGAAGAUCAGGAUUGUGACUUGUCAAAUGUCACAGAGCAAAUCUUCGGCAGAGCAGGAAAUGGAAUCGUCCCUGGGAGCUCACUUCUACUGCACACAGAUUGCUCCCUGCCAGAGUCACCAUGCCAGAGGCUCUACAGCAGUUUAAACACAUCAGUAACCCAGUGAGGAGCACUAUGGUCCAGGUUUACACUAAAUCUUCUGAAUGGAAGAUUUAUACACACAAGACACAAUGCCUGUGCAAAUUAAUUACAAUAAACAAGAAUACCCAGGUGACCCCCACCAGCCCUUCCUGCACAGCUGGUGCAGCGCAUGCUGUGAAGGGAAUUGACCUGCUAUUCCUGAAGUGUAAGCUAUUCAGUUAAGGUUCGGAUCUUAAAAGCAAGUGGAUAAUAAAUCUCAAGUUAAACCUCA
ensembl:lncRNA